rnacentral:rRNA from 1 species
UUUGAAAUCUAGCACUUUCAGUGUUCGAGUUGUAAUUUGAAGAAGGUAACUUUGGAAUUGGCUCUUGUCUAUGUUCCUUGGAACAGGACGUCACAGAGGGUGAGAAUCCCGUGCGAUGAGAUGUCCAAUUCUAUGUAAAGUGCUUUCGAAGAGUCGAGUUGUUUGGGAAUGCAGCUCUAAGUGGGUGGUAAAUUCCAUCUAAAGCUAAAUAUUGGCGAGAGACCGAUAGCGAACAAGUACAGUGAUGGAAAGAUGAAAAGAACUUUGAAAAGAGAGUGAAAAAGUACGUGAAAUUGUUGAAAGGGAAGGGCUUGAGAUCAGACUUGGUAUUUUGUGUUCCUUAUCCUUCUUGGAUUAGGUUCCUCACAGCUUACCGGGCCAGCAUCGGUUUGGAUGGCAGGAUAAUGACAUUGGAAUGUAGCUUUGCUUCGGUGAAGUGUUAUAGACUUUGUUGAUACUGCCUAUCUAGACC